AGUCUCAGAAACCAAGACGCAGUAAAACUUCACAACCUCCCACCGCUUGGGGUAUGGUGGCUCUGUCCAAAAGGGAUGUAUGAAAUAAAACUGCAGCUUCCUGCUGCCCUGGUCAUACUGACUCUGUUGAACAGGUUUCGCUCUGACCAUUUUUCCAACUCCAAUAUGUCCGAAUUCUUUGUGAAGACAAGAGGGACACACCAGUCUCCUUCCCAUCCCUGGCGAUUAGCGCCAGAGCCCCCAUAUACCACUUCAGAAGUGCAGCUGUGUUUUCUACAGGCUGAAAUGAAAACACAGCCCGGGUCAUUCACAAAGACCCAGCUGCCACACGGGAGGUCAGGACGUCACUUUCUGGAGACGACGAUGCUUUUCCCUGCCUGCUCGGCUCUCCUUGGCACCUCACAGGGUGCCUGGAGCAUCCUGGGUGCUUGGAAGUUAAUUGAUGGUUAAGAUAGACCCAUAGGCUCAGAGUGGCUUUGAUUCGUAUGGUCUUUGACUGC
rnacentral:lncRNA from 1 species